GACGAACGCUGGCGGCGUGCUUAACACAUGCAAGUCGAACGCUGAAGACCUGGCUUUUGUUGGGUUGGAUGAGUGGCGAACGGGUGAGUAACACGUGAGUAACCUGCCCUCUUCUUUGGGAUAACGCCCGGAAACGGGUGCUAAUACUGGAUAUUCACUGAUCUUCGCAUGGGGGUUGGUGGAAAGGUUUGUUCUGGUGGGGGAUGGGCUCGCGGCCUAUCAGCUUGUUGGUGGGGUGAUGGCCUACCAAGGCUUUGACGGGUAGCCGGCCUGAGAGGGUGACCGGUGACAUUGGGACUGAGAUACGGCCCAGACUCCUACGGGAGGCAGCAGUGGGGAAUAUUGCACAAUGGGCGAAAGCCUGAUGCAGCGGCGCCGCGUGAGGGAUGGAGGCCUUCGGGUUGUAAACCUCUUUCGCUCAUGGUCAAGCCGCAACUGUGGGUUGUGGUGAGGGUAGUGGGUAAAGAAGCGCCGGCUAACUACGUG
rnacentral:rRNA from 1 species